UACGUAAGGGGCUAGCGUUGUCCGGAUUUAUUGGGCGUAAAGAGCGUGUAGGCGGCCAGGUAGGUCCGUUGUGAAAACUCGAGGCUCAACCUCGAGACGUCGGCGGAAACCCUCUGGCUAGAGUCCGGAAGAGGAGAGUGGAAUUCCUGGUGUAGCGGUGAAAUGCGCAGAUAUCAGGAAGAACACCCGUGGCGAAGGCGGCUCUCUGGGACGGUACUGACGCUGAGACGCGAAAGCGUGGGGAGCAAACAGG
rnacentral:rRNA from 1 species